GGAUUAGAUACCCUGGUAGUCCACGCCGUAAACGAUGUCUAUUAGGAGUCUGUGUCCUUGAGACGUGGGUUCCAAAGCUAACGCAUUAAAUAGACCGCCUGGGGAGUACGGCCGCAAGGUUAAAACUCAAAUGAAUUGACGGGGGCCCGCACAAGCGGUGGAGCAUGUGGUUUAAUUCGAUGCAACGCGAAGAACCUUACCUACUCUUGACAUCCAGAGAAGUUACCAGAGAUGGUUUCGUGCCUUCGGGAACUCUGAGACAGGUGCUGCAUGGCUGUCGUCAGCUCGUGCUG
rnacentral:rRNA from 1 species